UUGAUUGGGUAUAAGAAGUAGAACCGCAACCGGAUCUUAAAAGCCUAAGUAGUAUUUCUUU
rnacentral:sRNA from 1 species